GCGGGGGUAGCUCAAUGGUAGAGCCCCUGCCUUCCAAGCAGGCUAUGCGGGUUCGAUUCCCGUCCCCCGCU
rnacentral:tRNA from 1 species